UACGGAGGGUGCGAGCGUUGUUCGGAAUUACUGGGCGUAAAGGGCUCGUAGGCGGCCAACUAAGUCGGAUGUGAAAUCCCCAGGCUUAACCUGGGAACUGCAUCCGAUACUGGAUGGCUUGAAUCCGGGAGAGGGAUGCGGAAUUCCAGGUGUAGCGGUGAAAUUCGUAGAUAUCGGGAGGAACACCGGUGGCGAAGGCGGCGACCUGGGUAGAUACUGACGCUGAGGCGCGAAAGCGUGGGGAGCAAAAGGG
rnacentral:rRNA from 1 species